rnacentral:lncRNA from 1 species
CAUCUGGUGUCAGCGGCUCCUCCCCUGGCUGGCGGUGAUAAAGGCAGGGCCUGGUCCCUGCUCGCUGUCUGCUGGAGCUGCAGCAAUGUGGGCGGCCCUUCUCCUCCUGCUGUGGCUGAGCCCUGUGGUCUCCCAGUUGAACAUAGGCAGUUGCUCCCAACCGAACCCCCUCUGCUGCCAGGGAUUCAAUCACAGCUGCAUCAGGGGAACCUGCUUCUGCGAUGACUACUGCAUCAAUAUCUCAGAGUGCUGUGUGGACUACAGAGCUGUCUGCCGCCCCAGUGACUCCCUGCCUCUCGGGGACAAGAUGGUGCUACGUAUGGUGCUGAGGAUACAGAGCCCUCCCUGCCCUGACAGCAGCAAUCCAGACUUGGUGCAGAGCAUGGCCCAGAAGCUUCUCCAAAGCACUCUGCUGAAGAGGCAGCUCUCCAUGUCUGUGAAGGGAGUCGGGAAGAAAGCCUGAGUCCUCCCUCGGCACGGCUCGCCUGUCCCCACCAUGGCCCAUGGGGCCCAUGCUGCUGGGCCUUUGAUGUCUGCUUUCAUCCUCCGUUUGGUGACUUCUCAGAUCCCCUAACCACAGGAUAGCCGGGACCUGCCUUCGCCCAAACAUACCAAGAUGUGCCCGGGCACAGCAUACAGAUCAUGGAACAUGUAUUUGGCUCAUGGUGGUGUUUUGUUGUUGUCAUUGUUUGAGACAGGGCCUCACUGUGCAGCCCAGGCUGGCCUCAAACUUGCAGCGAUCCUCCUGCCUCGGCCACCAGGGUACUGGGUCACAGGGAGCACCACCAUGCCCGGCCUGGCUCCCGCUGUGAUUCCUCAGGCUGUGGUGGCUACAGGGACAUAGCAAACGUUUCUUUCUUUCUUUCUUUUUUGGUACUGGGGAUCGAACUCAGGACCUCGUGCUUGUGAGCCAGGCAUGGCACCACUGAGCUAAAUCCCCGGCCCGCAAACAUUUUUUGAAGGUGAAAAAUGAGACCCCAGCCAUGUGUCCUCUCCCCUCGUGUGUCCCCUGGGCCCCAGGUGGUGGCUUGCAAGUCUGGAGAGGCCUGGUCUACAGAUUCCUGUCUCUUCUUGGGGUGGAAACAGUGGCGGGACUUCCGGGUGUCCCCUUGCAAGCAGGGUGGCAAACUCGAGCAGGCGAUGCCAGCAUGUGCGUGUCCCUCUGGGCCCAGACUCCUCCUCUGGUUCCUCUGCCCGUGCCUUCUUCCCCGUGGUCCUCUGUUAUGUUCCCAUGUGGAAGUCCUGGGCACAGCUCCACCCUGCUGCUCUGGCCCCUGACUCUUCUCUAAACUGGUCUCGGUCCAGGUCAGAGUCCCCAACCCUGAGCCCGGUCCUGCCAGUUCCCUGCUCCAAAGCCUCCUCUUUGUCACUUAGCCCUGGGACACAGGCCAGCUGACUGCUUGGGGCAGCCGAGUGGCCCAACCCACCAUGAUCCCGCCGAGCCCCCUGGGCUGCUGCUGAUCUACCCACCGCUCUCCAGGUGGAGGUGAUGGCUCAGGAGCCCUUGGGCCCAGAGCCCAGCUCUUGACUAAUGGGUUUGUCUUGGCUUAGUCUCUGGGAAUGAUUUGUUUGGCGACAUAAUCCCCAGGAGCAGGGGUUAGGGAAAGGGGAGGAGAAGCAGGGACAGGGGAGAGCCAGC